rnacentral:misc_RNA from 1 species
CACGUCUAUCUCCAAUAAAGAGCCAUUCCAAUGUUGGAUGAAAUGCAAAUGCACCAGCACCAACCAGCUUGAUAGUAUUAUCCAAUUGUAAAGUGUAGUGUACAGCAUAUGUAUGGAUGUUAUAAGCUCGAAUCAACCCUUCCGCGUAAGCUACAUACAGAACUGGUAGUCGAGGAUGGCAAGCAAGAUUAACGAUAGGUUUCUUCAGGUCAGUCUUUAUUUUUGUUGGCGCCUUCCCACCUUCCACAGUUCCAACAACUGUAACACUCAUCCUACGAUGGAAACCAAAAAAUACAACAGGUUGAAGAGGAGUCAAUGCAAGGUGAACUUCAGUAUCAGAAGAAAUCCGUUCGG